rnacentral:rRNA from 1 species
GAUUGAACGCUGGCGGCAUGCUUUACACAUGCAAGUCGAACGGUAACAGGUCUUCGGAUGCUGACGAGUGGCGAACGGGUGAGUAACACAUCGGAACGUGCCUAGUAGUGGGGGAUAACUACUCGAAAGAGUAGCUAAUACCGCAUGAGAUCUAAGGAUGAAAGCAGGGGACCUUCGGGCCUUGCGCUACUAGAGCGGCUGAUGGCAGAUUAGGUAGUUGGUGGGAUAAAAGCUUACCAAGCCGACGAUCUGUAGCUGGUCUGAGAGGACGACCAGCCACACUGGGACUGAGACACGGCCCAGACUCCUACGGGAGGCAGCAGUGGGGAAUUUUGGACAAUGGGCGAAAGCCUGAUCCAGCAAUGCCGCGUGCAGGAUGAAGGCCCUCGGGUUGUAAACUGCUUUUGUACGGAACGAAAAGACUCUYUCUAAUAAAGAGGGUUGAUGACGGUACCGUAAGAAUAAGCACCGGCUAACUAC